AUUGAACGCUGGCGGCAGGCUUAACACAUGCAAGUCGAACGAGUGGCGGACGGGUGAGUAAUGUCUGGGAAACUGCCCGAUGGAGGGGGAUAACUACUGGAAAGGGUGGCUAAUACCGCAUACUAUCGGAUGUGCCCAGAUGGGAUUAGCUAGUAGGUGGGGUAACGGCUCACCUAGGCUACGAUCCCUAGCUGGUCUGAGAGGAUGACCAGCCCAACCUGGAACGAGAACCGGUCCAGACGCCUUAGGGAGGCAUAAGGGGGGAAAUUUUAGCAAUGGGCGCAAGCCGGAUGCAGCCAAGCCGCGUGUAUGAAGAAGGCCUUCGGGUUGUAAAGUACUUUCAGCAGGGAAGCGGUACCUGCAGAAGAAGCACCGGCUAACUCCGUGCCAGCAGCCGCGGUAAUAC
rnacentral:rRNA from 1 species